UAGGGAAUCUUCGGCAAUGGACGAAAGUCUGACCGAGCAACGCCGCGUGAGUGAAGAAGGUUUUCGGAUCGUAAAACUCUGUUGUUAGAGAAGAACAAGGACGUUAGUAACUGAACGUCCCCUGACGGUAUCUAACCAGAAAGCCACGGCUAACUACGUGCCAGCAGCGGCGGUAAUACGUAGGUGGCAAGCGUGGUCCGGAUUUAUUGGGCGUAAAGCGAGCGCAGGCGGUUUCUUAAGUCUGAUGUGAAAGCCCCCGGCUCAACCGGGGAGGGUCAUUGGAAACUGGGAGACUUGAGUGCAGAAGAGGAGAGUGGAAUUCCAUGUGUAGCGGUGAAAUGCGUAGAUAUAUGGAGGAACACCAGUGGCGAAGGCGGCUCUCUGGUCUGUAACUGACGCUGAGGCUCGAAAGCGUGGGGAGCAAACAGG
rnacentral:rRNA from 1 species